GCGGGGGGCCUCCCGUCGGGGCUGCAGAUAAAGAAUCCGAGGCGCAGAGAGGUGGCACUGCUGGAAGGAACAGAGCCAGAUCCACAAGAUCCUUCAUUCCGACAAUAAAUAUUCACUGAAGAUCUGCCACAUGUCAGGCCCCAGCCCAGGUGCUGGGGAUUUAGCAGAAAACCAGCCAGACCCAUUUCCUGCAUCCAUGGAGUGCACAGGCUGGUGGGGGAGAUGGGCUAGAAAUCCAUGAACCAAAUUAUACUGAGACGAGCGAGCACCGAGCGCCUAGCGUGGACUGCGACCGCUCGGGCUCCUGUAUCUGUGACAGAUGUGCUUGGGCUCCUCGUAGGACCGAGGGACUUUGUUAUCCACACCACUGGCCUUGAAGUUGGCUGCUACCUGAUGAGAUGAAUUAAGAACAUACCAGCACUUUG
rnacentral:lncRNA from 10 species